CUGGACUCUUCCCUAACAACCGAGGAGAGAAGCCCCGCCCCCUCUGAGCAGGCAGGAACAAAGUCUGAUCUCCGUCCGACAGCUUGGGCGUUACGAUUCACUUCAGUGAGCCGACUCGUUUGAACUGCCCGUUUAAGAUAUCAGGCAGCAAGUGAACAGUCGGUUCUAGAAGGAUCUGAGCGGCUUUGACAAGG